CGGGCGGGGCGGAGCCGUUGGGGUUGUGGGCGGGACAGACCGAGCCCUGCGGGUGUGGGUGGGGUCCCCGCUGCGAAGCGGCCCCUCACUAGCUGCUCCCGCUCUCUCGGAAAGGAAGGCCAGGCAGGGCGAGUGAGCGCCCCGGCUUCCAGUUGCUUGCGCUCCUGAGGCUCCGGACAGCAGACCUCGGGUUUGGAUAGGUGUAGUUGAGAACCCGAGGGGACCCACCUGUGGUGCCCGCUGCUCCGCGAGGAACCUGCGCUUAUUGAAUUCUUUAGGAGUCGCACAGCCUGAGAGCUCCUGAGGGCACCGCCUAGAGGCGCGCGGAAGUGCGGGUCUGACAGUCCUCAAAGCAGGCUAGGCGCAUGUACUUGAAUGGUCGGCUUCUCCUAGUCCGUCCCCCUGCGGGUGACAAGGCACUAACAGCAGGUGGAGAUGGAGUGCGUCAUGUGCCUGGCCUUACUAGGAAUUCUCAGUCUGCACUGUCAGCUGUUUAUCAGAAAGAUUGCCUCCCCAGAAAGCUGAUGCCUACACCAGGACUCCCAGCUGGAGAAGUUAUUAAUACAUAAACAGCAGAGCGAACCCAGAUGUUAUACUGAACUGAUACCUGCUCCCACCCAGCCUGGAAUCUGGGGGAGUCAGGGAGGCUUCUCCUCAGACAACCCUGACGCCUGAACGUGACUUCAGCCCUCACAGUCUGGCUUGAAGAUGUUGUGAGGCAGCAGCCACAUCCAUCACUGGGGGGCAGUUUGUCAUUCUGCUUCAGCCUCACAGACAUCGUCUUUUGGAUCCUGAGUCUCCCUGUGGCAGCUGCCACACUGAAGUCAUCAGCUCAGAGUGAACUGGACAGUGUGGGGAAGCAGGAAAGACAGUUUGACCCAGCUAACCUCAGGGGGUGACUUCACCAAUGUGGAAAGAAGACAGCUUCAACUACUGAAGCCUGGGGAGCCGGAGAACUCCUGUAGGAUUGCAAAUCUAUCCUGUCCCUGGUCAGGCAGCAGCUGAACCCAGAGGAAAUGGUACUAGUAACACCACACAGGUGGUUUGCACAAACUGGGAGAUUUGUUUUUUCACUCUCAUAAAGUUCAGUGAAGUGCAGUGUAUUCUCCCGAAUGAAGAUAGCUCCUAACCCCUCCAGCAGGAGAAAUUGAAUGCAACCUCAGCACUCUUCCCUGUUAUGUGUUAGGACAGGAGCCUGAAUAGAGUGAUCAGGAGCUAUAGACUAAUGUCUUUCUGGGGUGCUAGUAAGCCUGGUUGUUGGUGGACCCCCUAAGAAGUGCAGGUGAGGGAAAUGCUCAGAGCAGCAUAGAGAACCAUGCUCCAUCAGACCAUGAGGUGAGAGACAAGUCAGAGAAGGUCCUUCUAUGAAAAGGCCAGUCUAGGUAAAGAGGGAGAAAAUAAUGUGUGGGACAGGAGAAACAUGGGAGACUGAAUCAGAGCCCCAGACCACCAGAGUGCCUGGGCUGAAUACCAGGGAUGGAAGUAGACAGCACAGGUGUGUUCCUGGCGAUGUUCCUCAGAAGAAAUGGAACUACAAGAGUCCCCCGCCCCCUCUAGUACCAGGAAUUGAACUCAUGACCUCGUGCUUGCCAGGGAACUACAAGAGUUUGAACGAGAAAGAGCACCACUCACACACAUUCCCAGGUCCUCUGGGUCCACCAUGCUGUGCUCUUUGUCACCAAGGCAGCAAAGACUCUGGAGGUCUGCUUACAGCCAGGAAUCCACUCUGAGGAAGGCAACUCCCCAGGCCCACUGGCUGGGUAAGGCUAAUUACUCCCACAGGAUCCAGGGCAUACUGAUUAGAAUCUGUGGGAAGCUACAGCUCCUACGGAGUCAAAGAAAACAUAAACAAUAAACAUUCUUUUUCCUUUUCAUGUAGUCCAACCCAGACCGACUGGUGGUGGCAUUUAUGCAGCCUGAACAGCCUGGGCUGGGACAAGUUCAGGCCACUGAUCUGCCCAUGGUGCUUGUCUUUUCUUCUUCAGGAAGAGAAAUAUGGCAAACAAACAAACAAACCAUACACACACAAAUCACAACCCCAAAUAGAAGAGUUAUCAUGUGUGUCGCAGGGACUUGUCCAGUUUUACUUAUAACCCCUGCUCCAUUCUUACAAUCUUACAUUUGCCCCUUACUUGAGGGGCUGCUAAUAUCCUAACUCUGUACACUAGGAAAUGGGAGGCGAGGUGAUCCUACGGUCCCAUCUGGGGAGUAGCAAGGCUGAGAGGUGGACUCUUGUGAAAUCUAAACAUACACAUGGAGUCACCAGACAUGAAGCUGAAUCAGAUAGCUUUCAGGGCAGGAAGAAACUCAUCGAGGAUCCUCAUAACGCAGGGAGAGCAGCUUUCCUCAUCCCAGUAGGCCCAAUGAGGUGAGGCAGCUUCCCACAAAGGGUGACUCAUGAGGUCAGGGGAAAACACCAGGAAGUUGGGACUCUGCAUUGCUUUUCUUUCUCUUUCCUGAUUCACCCUAGAGUUUGGGAGGAACAGCUCAGAUACUCAGGGGAAGGGCAUGGGUCUCCUUCCAGAACUGAGAGCAACUGGUCUGACCACUGGGAUGGCCAUCACCAUUCACUGGGAUUCCUGGAUUAUUACAGGUCACAUUAGAAAUGCUGACAUCUAAUUAAAAAAUAAUAAUAAAAAAAAAUUUAAAAAAGAAA